rnacentral:rRNA from 1 species
AGCGAACGCUGGCGGCAGGCCUAACACAUGCAAGUCGAACGAGGUCUUCGGACCUAGUGGCGGACGGGUGAGUAACACGCGGGAACGUGCCCUUUGGUACGGAAUAACUCAGGGAAACUUGAGCUAAUACCGUAUGUGCCCUUCGGGGGAAAGAUUUAUCGCCAUUGGAGCGGCCCGCGUCUGAUUAGCUAGUUGGUGAGGUAACGGCUCACCAAGGCGACGAUCAGUAGCUGGUCUGAGAGGAUGACCAGCCACAUUGGGACUGAGACACGGCCCAAACUCCUACGGGAGGCAGCAGUGGGGAAUCUUGCGCAAUGGGCGAAAGCCUGACGCAGCCAUGCCGCGUGGAUGAUGAAGGUCUUAGGAUUGUAAAAUCCUUUCACCGGUGAAGAUAAUGACUGUAGCCGGAGAAGAAGCCCCGGCUAACUUCGUGCCAGCAGCCGCAGUAA